rnacentral:tRNA from 4 species
CGGGAAGUAGCGCAGCCUGGUAGCGCACAUCGCUGGGGGUGAUGGGGUCGGAGGUUCGAAUCCUCUCUUCCCGACCA